rnacentral:lncRNA from 1 species
CCUGAUCGAAGGAUCGUCAUGGAAGACACUGAUCAAUCUAUUUGAGAUUGAUGCACGGAUCACCUCCUUUUUGGAUAGAUGAGUCUCUAAUCUGCAGUGUAGAGACACUAGGAUGAGAGUACACAUAGUUGUUAGGGAAUAACUUACACUAAGCAUGACCAAUAUGAGAAACUACUUGGAUGUCUAUUCACUCGUCAGUGAUCUUCUCGAUGCUGCAGUAGUGUGAGUGGUCCUUUGACCUGUGACGUCAUCGGCUAUUCACAGCGAGGCUAUUGAGUUUGACUGCAUAUUUUCUUGAUCCCUAUCCAUUCGGAUCCUUGCUUUGUAUAUUGACUACAGUAGGUUCAGAUUCGCUGUUUGGAGUAGGAUGCACGUAGAUAGAAUCUAUGACCUUGAUAGAAAAAGAGAAAUCCUAUACAAUUCAUGAGAUUGAGUUCAGAAAAUCUUUGAUCAAAAUAAGUGUGAAUAGUGAAAAAGAGUUUCCAUAGGAUUCACAAGUGAACUCAAGUCGAGUCAAUCUUGUAUAUGAUUGACGAUGGGAUUUGACGAGUUCUCCAUGAUCUCUAUCAAGUCGAAACUCAUGAUAGAAGGAUUGAAUUACAUGAUAACUGCACCUAAGGGUUCAUACUUUUAUUUUACUGGGUUGCCACUACAUACUACUAGGUGUCACUGAAGGAUUGUAGGACUUAUCGGGUGUCAUCUUGAUGAUCGAUGACCCUCAAAGGACAGAGUUGAAACUUUUCAAUCCAUCAAAAAGAGUUUCGAUGAUAUUAUAAUAGAGAUCAUAAUAUAUCUCACUAUCAGACAGAAUGAAAUCUAUGGAGUCAUACAUAAAAGAGGUUUUUAUCCGAUCAAAUGGCUGAUCAAUGAUUAUGAAUCAUUAAAGGAUAAGAACAUCAAUUUGAUAGAUGAUUAAUCUUAUACAAAAAUUGUAAUUAAGUAAUUCACUAAGUGUUAGUGAAUCAUACAAGGAUUAAUUAGCAAUUAGAUUGCUAAUUUGCUCAAUUUAAUUGAGCAAUUGAGAUUCGAAUUAAGUCUAAUUGAAUUGGAUUCAAUUUGACUAGGGUUGGGUUUGAUUAGAUCGAGCCUAAUUGCGAAAGAGAUUAAUUCUUGAUUUGAUCAAAACUUGAAUUCAGUUAAUUUUUAAUAAGAUUAGAAUUUAAUUAAGAACAUUGGGUUCCUAAUUUGAUUAGGUUCUUUUUUCUUAUUGGAUCAAAUCGAAUUGGAUUCGAUUUAAUUCAAAUUUGAAAACCCUAGAGUCCAUUGGAGCUGGGACUCUCCCUCCACCGCCCCUCUUUGGUUUUCAUGCUCCAUAUUUCAUGACAAAAAUAUUUUGGCAUGAGAAAUAUUUUACGUGAGUGUUUUGGGUGCAGAUAUGAGAUAGAGAGAUUGUUAUGGUAGGUAGUUGGUUGAUGACUCAUCCACCUUAUCUCUUGAUCUCUUUCCUAGUUUGAAUUUGAUUCAAAUCAAGGAUAGAGAUAAGAAGAGAAACUAAUCUAAUUUUUAUGGCAACUGGGUGGUGCCAACAACCAAUUCCUCCCUUAGGCGUGGAGAAAUAUGGGCGUGAGAAAUCAGAUUUGAUUUCUCAUGCCAAUGCUUGCAAAAAUUCCUUAACGCCAAAAAUAUUUGGCGUGUGAUGUAGGUGGCACCCCUCUCCCAAGAAACCCUAGUCCUCCCUCUUAUAAAUAGGGACUAAUUUUAGACUCUAUGUGAAAGUGAAAAAAUCAAAAAAAAAUAGAGAAAAAUAUUCUAAAAAAUCUGAGUCCUCUGUCUCCUUCUCUUCCUCCCUAUUCUCCUUAGUUCUCAAGAGAGUUUGUGAGAAGAGAACAACUUUAGCCAUCAAAGAGGAGUCUUCUGCAAGGUAGCUAGCACCCCAGUGAAGAUACCUAUUUUUGAUCAGAAUGAGUCCUCAUGUAGAUACCUGUGGAGGGUAGAUGCUUGCACGGCUAAAGAAAUCCGUUCAGAUCCACGAUCAUCGAUUGCAGUGUAGAUCAACCCACAUAAAGGUAUUGAGAUUCAAUCUCAAUAUUUUCUCUUUUAUUUUUUAGAUUAUGUGCAUGUCAUAGAUCUAGAGGCUCGGAUAGUAUAAAUUAGAUCUAUUGUAUGUGGGGUUAAAUAGGUUUAACCUAGAUCUGUUUUCCGCUGCGAUCAAAAAUUGUUUUAAAAUUCAUACACGCAACUUAAUCAAUUUCUAACAGUGGUAUCAGAGCC